UACGUAGGGGGCAAGCGUUGUCCGGAAUUAUUGGGCGUAAAGAGCGCGUAGGUGGUCCGGUAAGUCGGCUGUGAAAGUCAAGGGCUCAACCCUUGAAAGCCGGCCGAUACUGUCGGACUAGAGUCCGGAAGAGGCGAGUGGAAUUCCCGGUGUAGCGGUGAAAUGCGCAGAUAUCAGGAGGAACACCGGUGGCGAAGGCGGUUCUCUGGGAAUAUCCUGACGCUGAGGAGCGAAAGUGUGGGGAGCGAACAGG
rnacentral:rRNA from 1 species